rnacentral:lncRNA from 10 species
UAACCCAACAAAGUCACAGCUGCCACCCCAAGACCUUUGCUUAAUGAGAAAAUAAACUGAAGGCAUUUGGGGAAAGAAUUUUAAAUGGAAUCUCAUUAAUUUGUUGUUUCAGAAAGCAGUCACCAUUAGCAAUCAUUCCAUUGCUUCAAACAGAGAAGAUGUUUUAUGCAAUCCAGUAUAUUAUGCCCCCUCUCUGCGGGAAGGGACCAGGGCUAAUGUCAGAGCUUGCCUUGUCAUUCUGACUAUACUGCAGCAUUUCCUGGAAAACUGGAGGCAUUUAUAUUCUUUCAUUUUCUAAUCUACUUAGAGGUUACUUCAUGUUUUAUUUAAGCUGGAAAGUCAUCUUUAAUCUAACACAAGAGGAAUAGCUGCCUCACUGGGAUUCUUCCAGUGACUUGAUCCUUCCUCAUGGCGUUCACGUCACUUAAGACCUGUAGGCUGUACCUGCGUUCGGGCUGAUGUGCCUCCCGUGGCUUCUGAGAAAGCAGAGAGAACAUAGCCAUGUGAAGGAAUUGCCCAUUCCAGCUAUGUUGAAAUCAGGGACAAGGGACCUCUGCUCCAGGGUAGAGCAUGAGUUCUAAGAGGUGUGGGUGGCUGCUUAUGCAGUGGAAAGCUGCAUUUAAUGUAUCUUAUGUUUUUGCCUCUUUUCAGCCAAUGGAAUUGCAUGUUACAAGAUUCAAAGCCACAGACUUAACAACAUUAUACUGUGCACUAGACAAAGCAAUGCUGAGUUUCAGUUCCAGUUGUAAGCCCACCUAGUUAUGUAACAUCAUUCAUGGGAAGGCCUCAGAUUUUUUUCAAGAGUGCUAUGAAAAUUAUGGCUUUACAUAGAAUAAAUGUGAAGGGGAAAAAUUCACCUUGAUACCACUGGCCUCUCUCUGUAAUGUUUUUCAUUGCUAUUUCCUCCUCUCAUUUUAUUUUAGUUAUAGGAUUAUUGUUUUAGAGACAAGAUCUCACUCUGUUGCCCAGUCUGGAGUGCAGUGGCAACAUCAUAGCUCACUGCCGCCUGGAGCUCCUGGGCUCAAGAGAUUCCCUCACCUCAGCCUCCUGCAUAGCUGGGACUAAAGGUGUGUGCCACCAUGCCUGGCUAAUUAUUUUAGAGACAUAGUCUUGCUAUGUUAACCCAGGAUGGUCUU